GGGGAAUCCAAGUGCUUAAUUAAAACAAAGAAUUGUGAUGGUCCCUACGGAUGCUAACACAAUGUCAUUUAUGCCCAUUGAUAUGCUCCAUUUCAAAGUGAAGAAAUUAAACCAAGAACAGGUAAACGGUGGGAGUAACUAUGUCGAAUUUAUUAAGGUAUCCAAAUGCCUCAUAAUUUAACUAAUCAUGCACAUGAAUGGAUUAAAAUGAUUCCCACUAUCCCUAUCUACUAUCAAGAGAAACCACAGCCAAGGCAAUGAGCUUGGAAUAAUCAGUGGGGAAAGAAGAACCCGUUGAGGUUGACUCUAGUCCAAAUUUUUUAAAUGACUUGAGAGGUGUAGAAUAAGUGGGACCCAUUUUCGAUGCAAGUGAAAUAACACUAAUUUUAACAUCAUUUUACUUAUUUUGUAGGGUGGAGAUGGGGCAUUGCCCUUGCUUUUUUGAUAAGACAUGUUUCAGGGGGUUGAUCUAGGUGGAAGACAUUUUCAGGUGGGGAUUUUUCUUGUUCCUUUAACAUUAUUUUACUUGUUCCUUGAAUGCUUAUGGAAUAAAUGAAUAUCUUACAAAUGGACGAGAAAU
rnacentral:ncRNA from 1 species